GCGUCGGUGGUAUAGCGGUUAGCACGCUCGCUGACAAUGCAUAUGGUCCGGGGUUCGAUCCCCGGCUGGCGCA
rnacentral:tRNA from 1 species